rnacentral:rRNA from 1 species
GACGAACGCUGGCGGCGUGCUUAACACAUGCAAGUCGAACGGAAAGGCCCUGCUUUUGUGGGGUGCUCGAGUGGCGAACGGGUGAGUAACACGUGAGUAACCUGCCCUUGACUUUGGGAUAACUUCAGGAAACUGGGGCUAAUACCGGAUAGGAGCUCCUGCUGCAUGGUGGGGGUUGGAAAGUUUCGGCGGUUGGGGAUGGACUCGCGGCUUAUCAGCUGGUUGGUGGGGUAGUGGCUUACCAAGGUUUUGACGGGUAGCCGGCCUGAGAGGGUGAACGGCCACAUUGGGACUGAGAUACGGCCCAGACUCCUACGGGAGGCAGCAGUGGGGAAUAUUGCACAAUGGGCGGAAGCCUGAUGCAGCAACGCCGCGUGCGGGAUGACGGCCUUCGGGUUGUAAACCGCUUUCGCCUGUGACGAAGCGUGAGUGACGGUAAUGGGUAAAGAAGCACCGGCUAACUACGUG